UUUUUGACAACCACGCCUAACCCAAUCAUCAUUUCUUCUGAAGUUGACAUUGCUGCAUGAGUAAAAAGGAAUAUUGAAAUUGAAUUAAUAAUUUGGAAGAAUAUCAUAACGCAAUUAAACAAAAACUGAAUAUUUUAUCUUUCCUACUCUCUCAAUAAUUUUGACUGCAUACUUUUUCUGAAAAAAAAAAAAAAAAACUCAUAUCUAGAUUCAGUCACAAAGCCAAAUCUCUCUAAUCAUACGUCUAUAUUAAGAAACACAAAUAAGAGAUUCCAAGAACUUGGUAACACCCUUUUGGAAUAAUUGAUUCUGGAUUUUCAUACUUGGAUAAUGGCUUUUGCUUGGAUACCUCUCCAAUCACUCCAACCCUUUCACACAAUUGAUUGAAUUUCACUUGCUUGAUUUAUAUUACAUCGAGAUUUUGAGCCCGGCAUGGUUAAGGAGUUUUAAAAGUGUAAAAAAUUGGGUGAUUGAAAAAUGAUAGAGCUGAAAAUGAGGGAAAAUUUAGAAUUAUGGGAAUUUUAUUGGGGAAGAAAAAGUAUUUUAAACUCAAUGAUGGGGUGAUUAAGAAAUAGACUGAAUAAAAAAUAAAAAGAAUUUG
rnacentral:lncRNA from 1 species